rnacentral:lncRNA from 1 species
GGACUCUUUGCCCUGGAUCUGACAGCUGGGCCCGACUGUGCCUACUGUUCUGGAAUUAUCUCUGUUUUGUGGUUUCCACCUCCUUCUCCCUCCAUGUGUCUUCACAGGAGCUGAGAUAAGCAAGAGAUUUUCAACACAUACCCUGCAAGAGCAAGGUGACCCCCCCAGGAACAUCUUCUAGCUCUUUUGAUAACCAUAGGAAAGUUCAUAAUAGUUACAUAUGUUGAGGCAGGUUGCAGGCCCCGUGCCCCGUGAUGCCCCUCGAGUGUCCCAGGCUUCAGAGGAGAGGCCUCCCUGACAUGUUGCUAUGUGGAGAAUGUAGUGUCUGCUCAUCCUUCUGCUUCUGCAGCCCACGGAGCCCUGUCUUGUCUUACUCUCAUUCCCAGAGGGCCCUGUUCAUCUUUGUCCCAGUGUCUGUUUCUCUGCCCUCCCUCCCUUGGCCACAUCCUAGACCUUGCCCUUCCAGACAUUCCCCUAUGGGCGCUGUCCCUCCUUACCUCAGAGCUGGCUGUGGGAGUCUCAUGUGCCCCCACCCUUCACAUGAGCACUGUGCCCAGGGCUGGGACUAUACAGCACAGCCUGUGUUUGUCUAGGUCUGAGUUCCUUCUCUGUUCUCUUUGAACUUGGCUUCCCCGGGCUGAGGCUUGGUGUCCACCUUCCUUUCUGUGCCUGAAUAGAGCAGGGCUAUUCCUCAAAGGUGGAGCUUGAAGCAGGUCCUCACUAAUUUGUGUCUCUAGGAAAAUCAGGGUAGGAUGGAGCUACUGUUUAUAGAAGGCAAGAGGAGAAUUGUGAUUCUCUUUUAUAUCGUUCCCCUUGUGUUUGUUCUAUGAUCCACUGCCACUGAGGUUUUGAGGAGGCCAAAGCUCCGCCAGAUGCUAGACCUUACACCUUCUCUGUGAGCGCCUCUGGUUGAGAGUCUGACUUUUUGACGCCAAGCUCAGCUCUGGUGUUUGCUGCUCCUGUCUCUUGAAUAUCUUCGUUCCCCACCCCACCACCUUCCUUCUAUCUCAUUCAAACUUCACCCACUGCCCUCUGCCCUCCCCCAGCAUCAGCCUGGCUGCCUUCCAGUGGCCACACUUGUACAGGCCUGGGGAGAAUGACCUAUGAAAGGGGCUUUUGAAAAGGCUCAGGGAGACCCACCCAGGGAGUCAAGAUGUUGAAGAAGGGACCUGGGAUCCCAGAGACAGGACAAAAUGCUGCGAAUUACCUCUGAGGGGGUUUUCUAGACGUGGGUGUGCUGGGGAUUCUGUUGGCUUCCUUCAGGAGAGAGGAGAAGGGGUGGCUGGGUGAAGUGCAGAGAGGACCAGACUCAGGAGUCUCCAUCCAGCCUCUGGCAGUGCUAUCACUGUGACACUUCCAGGCCUUGGAUUCAGAAUGGUCUUUUCUUUGGCAUCCCUCCUUUGGCCAGUCACCAUCUCUACUGCUCACUUACCAGCCAUACUGUGUGAACCUGCAGGAAGAGAGAAUGGAGGUGACCCCAACGUGUGGCUAACCUUACCAUCAGCCCAGGCACAAAUCAGAACGCUUCUUGGUCUCAAGGCAGCUUCUGUGAACCACAGGAGCAGCUUAGUUGGGCUUUCUCUGUUCUUUCUGUGUCGGCUCAGUAGAUGGGUUUGAAUUACAUAUGAGGCUUGUGAAUACAAAACAUUAAAGUGGCCUCAGCUGCUUUGACUUGACCUCCAGGCAACUGUCACAGGCAUCAAGAACGAAGCCUCCAAGGAAGGCCACAGCUUGACCACCCCUCUCCACCCCGGCCCCUUUUCUCCUCCCCCUUCUUCUUCAGUGCUGGGGAAUCAAAUCCAGGGCCUCACCCUUGCUAGGCAAGCGCUCUAUCACUGAGCUACAGCCCCCAGCCCCACUUUUCUUAACACUGAAUUUUAAAUGGGCCAGGCAUCUGGGAAGCUCUGUCAGAUGCUUCUUUUUCUCUCUUCCACUCUCCUCUGGUCAUUUAUUAAAAGGAGCACUCCUCUUGCUGGACACUUGCUCGUUUUUCAUUUAACAAAGACUGGGGAGAGCCCUCAUG